rnacentral:lncRNA from 1 species
UCCUUAAGACCUUUAUUUAUAGUGGUCUAGUUACGAUUAGGUUGGAGGCUUUGAAGACUAAGCCAAAGCCACUAUACCAAGCAUAUUCCAUAUCCUUUGAUGGAUAAAUAAUUAAAGACUUUACCGCCACUUAGUACUACGGUCUAGCGGUAUUUCUUUUCACUUGUAAGUGAGAAGUCUUAGGUUCGAUUCUCGCCAAAGGCGAAUUUGAACCAUUUUAUUGCUAGCCCAUUGUAAGGCUAGGUCCACCCCUCCCUUAGUGUAGAUAAUAUUGUUUGUGCAAAA